CCUACGGGUGGCUGCAGUGAGGAAUAUUGGUCAAUGGACGCAAGUCUGAACCAGCCAUGCCGCGUGCAGGAUGACGGCUCUAUGAGUUGUAAACUGCUUUUGUACGAGGGUAAACCCCGAUACGUGUAUCGGGUUGAAAGUAUCGUACGAAUAAGGAUCGGCUAACUCCGUGCCAGCAGCCGCGGUAAUACGGAGGAUCCGAGCGUUAUCCGGAUUUAUUGGGUUUAAAGGGUGCGCAGGCGGAUUUUUAAGUCAGCGGUCAAAUCGUGGGGCUCAACCCCAUCCAGCCGUUGAAACUGGGGAUCUAGAGUGUGCGAGAGGUAUGCGGAAUGCGUGGUGUAGCGGUGAAAUGCAUAGAUAUCACGCAGAACCCCGAUUGCGAAGGCAGCAUACCGGUGCACAACUGACGCUCAGGCACGAAAGCGUGGGUAUCGAACAGGAUUAGAUACCCCAGUAGUC
rnacentral:rRNA from 1 species